UAGGGAAUCUUCCACAAUGGACGCAAGUCUGAUGGAGCAACGCCGCGUGAGUGAAGAAGGUCUUCGGAUCGUAAAGCUCUGUUGUUGGUGAAGAAGGAUAGAGACAGUAACUGGUCUUUAUUUGACGGUAAUCAACCAGAAAGUCACGGCUAACUACGUGCCAGCAGCCGCGGUAAUACGUAGGUGGCAAGCGUUGUCCGGAUUUAUUGGGCGUAAAGCGAGCGCAGGCGGAAUGAUAAGUCUGAUGUGAAAGCCCACGGCUCAACCGUGGAACUGCAUCGGAAACUGUCAUUCUUGAGUGCAGAAGAGGAGAGUGGAACUCCAUGUGUAGCGGUGGAAUGCGUAGAUAUAUGGAAGAACACCAGUGGCGAAGGCGGCUCUCUGGUCUGCAACUGACGCUGAGGCUCGAAAGCAUGGGUAGCGAACAGGAUUAGAUACC
rnacentral:rRNA from 1 species